UACGUAGGAGGCGAGCGUUGUCCGGAGUUACUGGGCGUAAAGGGUGCGUAGGCGGCCGCGCGCGUGGCGGGGGAAAUCUCUCGGCUUACCCGGGAGGGUGCUUGCCAGACGGCGUGGCUUGAGGGACGGAGAGGGGCGUGGAAUUCCCAGUGUAGUGGUGAAAUACGUAGAGAUUGGGAAGAACACCAGUGGCGAAGGCGGCUAUCUGGACGGUUUCUGACGCUAAGACGCGAAAGCGUGGGGAGCAAACAGG
rnacentral:rRNA from 1 species